AUGGUGGAUGAGGAGGCGACAAAUUCUCCCAAACUUGAGCCUUUCCCCAUUCAGGAGGAAGGUGAAACCUGGGAGGGUGGUGAACCUGAGAGUCCCGAUCUAGAGCAUGCUGUUAUGGAUGAGAUGGUUCCAGAGGAUAAGGGAAUAUUCCUUCUUGGUUCCAAGCUUCAUCCUGUUGUAAGGUCCGACGAGAAGCUUCAUUUCUCUCGCUUGCUUCAUCGAGAAAUGUUAUUCCAUGACUGA